ensembl:lncRNA
GUACAACAGAGAAAUCAAGGUCAGCAGCUUCUCUUACAUUCCCAGUGUAAACCUCAACAACAUUUAAAGUGCCAUGUUUUGAUUAAAGCUCAUGUGGGCUUUGGGUGGGGGUUUGCUCUUUUCGAAUUUAUUUUAAACCUAAACGUCCCUGUGAGGGACUAGUUCACUGUUCUCUAUGUUCCUGUGAUUAAAACCUACAGCUCAACUCCCAGCCCUGAAGGCAGAGGAUUGAGCACUUCAUUACACACUAACGUUCACACAGUUCACACUAAAGAAAACUCAACACACAAACAGUAUCACACUAACACACUUACUGCACUGGCUGGUCAGAUCGGAAACCUGAGCUUUAUACAUGUGGGAUUCAGCUAUUGUCCAGUACACGUCUAAUGUUUUCUGCUCCAAGCCUUUCUUUUUUUCUUUUUUUUUUUGCCCAAUUUAUUGUUUUCUUUCCUCCCACUGUAUCUCUCCUCUUUCUUCUCUUCCUCUUUUCCCCCGGCUGACUUUAUAGUUUGUAGAAAUGGAUGACUGUGUGCUUCAAGGACUUCUCUCUUUGCUGGGCUGCCUAACCAAUCUCUUCCUUCUAAUAAAGGACUUGAGACAGAGGCAGAGUCAGCAGCAGGACGUCCUAGAGCAGCUCAGGAGGGUGAGAUCUGAGAAACUCAAAGAGCUACAGAGACACAGGAAAGAGGAGGAGGAGAGGAAGAGGAAGAAAGAGGAGGAGGAGAGGAAGAUAAAGAAAGAGGAGGAGGAGAGGAAGAGGAAGCAAGAGGAGGAAGAGAGGAAGAGGAAGAAAGAAGAGGAGGAGAGGAAGAGAAAGAAAGAAGAGGAGGAGAGGAAGAGGAAGAAAGAGGAGGAGGAGAGGAAGAGGAAGAAAGAGGAGGAGGCUGCCAGGUAAAAUUUUGCUAUCUCACACACAGUCAUGCAUAUUUAUCAAGCCAUCUACAGCAUUCCAACGUAAAUGAACAACAUGGAAUUAUUAAGGUAACAUAUUUGAGAUAUAUAGGAUUUUAAAAAAUCAUGUAAAUUUCUGUAAAUAUAUUAUAGUUUUGUAAAAUAUAUUAUACUUUG